rnacentral:lncRNA from 1 species
AGAGAGAGAGAGAGAGAGAGAGAGAGAGAGAGAGACUUAUGCUCAUUAUGUUCAUUAAUAAAAAAAAAGAAGAAGAAGCGUCAAAAGUAGAUAUAUCAUGAUGAUGGCAUUGUGAUUUGAUGGUAUGAAGUAUCAAGGAGUGUCAUCAAGUGUCUGAUAUGCCAAAAACCCAAAAGUUUGAGUCAUAACAUUGCAUUUCAGAUAGCCCCAUUUGGGUCCAUACCAGCCAUUUAACAAGGCCAUAGGAGGGUAGACUUUGUUCUAUACUAAAGAAAAUUGGAAAGACAGCUAAAAAGGUGGCAUGCCACAAACUAUGUUCGGGUUCAAGCAGACUGAAAGCAACAGCGACCCUUCUUACAGAACUAAAACCAAGGAAACAACCUGCCCUUAUAAAGAAGAGUGUUGGGUGUUUACCAGAGGAAAGAAUAAGAAAUGAAAUGCGUCUAGACGUAGAAAGAUGCCAUUAAGAAAGAAAAAUACCAAAAGAAGGGCACUAGCACAAUAGAGCGUAAGAGGAGUAAGAUUCAUAAGAUUGGUGGAUGCGAGGAUGGUCUAGCCUAAACUGACAAUGUAUGGAAGCUAAUGAUAAAUUAAACCCAAGCUUUUUAUUAUCAUGAUGAUGCUUUUUCUAGAUAAUACCAUUGCUCCAAGCAAGGAUGCCAGAUGAGAAGAUCAUGCCAAAUUAAGAUUGAUAAAUUAAAAUUCGUGGAUGCUUUUUAUUAUCCUUGCUUUUUCAAGCAAGGAUGCCGGAGAGAAGAUAAUGACAAAUUCUCAAAAUAAAGAUAUCCACAUGCUCCAUUGAAUGAGUAGAGUAGAUGGGUAGGGAAGUUCAACUAACAAUUCUCAAUGGAUGAGACAAAUAUGUGAUUAAUAACACAGUCUAGGCCCAAGUGACAGAAGUCAUUGAUAUGCAUGUUAAAAAUAGGUGUCUCUACCAACAGGAGGCACAGGAUCAAAUGCCAAGGUUCAUAACAAACUCAAAACAGAAGCUUCCACUUCUGCAUCAGAAUUACAAAGAAGGUAGACUCAAGUGUUCCAGCUAAAGGCAAUUCAUAACUUGUAUAUUUUCUCAAUAUAUCUCAUACAACAAAUAUUUGUCCCCCUAAAUUUGUUUGAGUCAAAAAAAAGAAGAAGAAGAUUGUGAUUCUAUGAUUUAAUACCCCUAUUGUUGCCCCUAAAAACAGAAAUAUCAACAAUAUAAUGUAGUAAACUGCACCUUAUGCAGGCAUAUUCAGCCAGCCGUGCAUGAUUAUCUAAUGAGACAUACAACCACGUUCUCUAUACUGGCCUUUUUAGCCAAGCUACCAGACCUGAAAUUAAGCAUUAAGAACCCAUGUUCUCAUAGUAGUGAUCCAUUAAACAAUCUACAUUCUGAUAAUUUAGCUCAACUGUCGUCCAUUUUAAAGUUACAUGGUCAUAAUUGAACAUAAUAGCACCUGAUGACCAUCAUGGAUUUUCCAUAUAAUUAGGUUUAAACAAUUGCAGUCCAGAUCAACUUUUUUUUGAGGAUUAAAAAAAAAAAAAGUAGUUGAUCUGGGCUGCUAUACGUUAAGCCUAAUAGUGUAAUUCACUCUCCUAUCAAUAUGUCAUGACCAAUGAUUUAUUUUAAAAACAUUUCAUAUAUGACUGCAGAAAAAGCUUUAACAGAAAUUACAAAUGCAACAAAGCAAAAAAGAGGUAGAGAUACAAAAUGGUGAGAGAAAAACUAACACAACAGGUCAUGCAGCUGGUACUUGAAGAUACAUGUAGUAGAAAGAUCUUUACUUAUGAUCAGGUCAAAUAGAUGGUUCUCAAAACUUAUAAACAUUUCAUACAUUGGCUGGACAACAAUAGCUGUUCAGGAUAAGUAUUCACACAUUGACAAGAGCUCCAUACGGGUUUAGCAUUCGUUAGAUCGUGUCAGUAAAAAAAAAUCUAUUGCAUGAGAAAGAACCUAAAAUUCAAGGAAAUGUAGAAUAUUGGUCAAAGCCUCAGAAACUUUGGGAAAGGUUGAAAAAUAGAUUAAAGUGAAUGAAAAGAUCCAAGUGAUUGUAUAUAUUAAUGUGCAAGUGCACAUAAAAUCAGCAAGCAUGAGAGGGACACAAACAUAGCAUCAAUAAUAUAAUAUAUACAUAUAUUACAUAAAUAAUCAAUAUUACUUAACAAUCUUUGACAAUUAUUAAAUAAGAACAAUUAAUUGAUUUGUUAGGACAGACUGAUCAUGAUCAACUGGAAGAUUUUUUUUUUUUUUUUGUUGUAUAAAAGGAGGGAGGGGGAGACCCAGCAUAGCAACCCCCUCUGGGCGAACCAUGAGGCUCCCUUCCACCACGGAAUGUCCGAUGCGCCAAAUUAAGGCGACUCACUUGACAAGCCAAGUGGCCACAGCUCCCCACCACAAGGCCAGGAAGGGGCUCCCCCUAACUCCAGGGUGAGUACGUCACCUCGGCACCCUAUCAGGCAUCCAAGCAGACCAGUACCGCUCCAUGCGCACCUGACCAAGGCCGAGGAUAUUCGGUCCCUCAUUUAAUCGGCGCCCAUGCAUUUCGAACCUUGGUCAUUUGCGUGGAAGCACAAGGCCCGUUCCGCCUAUGCUAUUGCCCGAGGGGCAACCGGAAGAUUUUCAAUAUUAGAAAAUACUGUGAGUCUAUGAUAGUUUUGCGGUUGAAUCCAUCUAUUUAUCUGAUACUGCGACAAUUCUCAAGUCAAGAGUAAAAUUACCAACCCAACCUGCUGUUUCUUCAUCAUAGAAAAAAGAUGACUUUUCAAAGCUUCAAUUUCAACUUUCACAAUUCCACAGAUAAGUAGACGAUAUUUAGAAGCAUAAAAUAAGCUCUUGAACAAUCACUAAGCAUCAUGACUAAUACAUUCUGUCUGUCCAUCAUUAUCUGUUGCAUAUUUCAAUCAAUCUUCUCUUAGGCACUGAGUAUAAUAAGGCAUCCCUCAAAGUAUUGGAAUUUUCUGAGAACUAAUAUCAUUUCUAUCAUACAAAAAUCAUAAGCAACCUUCUUGUCAGCUCCGUUUGCUUUCAAGAAAACAGGUUCUGUUCCAUCUGAGGAACAAGAAAGAAACUGAUAGAUUCGAAAAAAAAAAACAGCUGCAGCAAUAAUUCCAAUGAGGAUAGUGUUAAAAAUCAAUCAGCCACUGUUGGCUUAUGUUCUAAAAUGUUCGAGUUCGGAAUAGAGAAAAAGGGAAAAACAGCAAAUCUUGUUGUGACAUAUUUCUAUUAUUGUAUCUCAAAGCUCAUACAUUUUGUUGAAACCCCUUGGUUUACUUCCCAGAAACAGAAAAAUAGAACAGAAACAAAUAAAUCUGAAAAAUUGUCAACUUCUCUUUUUCUACAUAGAUUAUUAAGGAGUUUCACAAAUAGGAAUCCAAGGUCUAUCAUCACCAUAUUUGUCAGGAACCCAGUGAAAAGGCAUGAUUUUCUUCCAUGAAAAAAUUCCUCCUGUAAUAUCCUUGGCAUACAUCUCCUGUGAACUUCCACUUUCUCAAGUACCAGAACUGGAAUAAACAGCAAGAAAUUUAAGAGCUUGAAGUUAGACACCAACGUUCUCAGCCUCAAUACCAUGUCUAAGAUCAGUUCCCUGCAGAAAGUUGUAAUUCUGACCAAUUAGAGUCAUAAGGGACAUUAAAAGUAGAACAUUCAUGUGGAACAGAAUCUAAUCAUUAUCAAUCUAAGGCUCGAGAAGCUUUCUCAAUCGCUCAAACAAAAAUUUGGUGACAUGAAUGUCAUCAGAUAGAGAUCUGAAAAUUAUGGAGAAAAGGAAAAUUUAGCCUAAAAAUAAGAUAACAAAUCAGUAAGGGAAGA